GUCCGCACAGUAAACGAUGAUUACUAGAUGUUGGCGAGAGCCAGUGUCCAAGGGAAACCGAUAAGUAAUCCACCUGGGGAGUACGCCGGCAACGGUGAAACUCAAAGGAAUUGACGGGGUCCGCACAAGCGGUGGAGCAUGUGGUUUAAUUCGAUGAUACGCGAGGAACCUUACCUGGACUAGAAUGUGAGUGAAGGGCUUAGAAAUAGGUCUGUCCGCAAGGACACGAAACAAGGUGCUGCAUGGCUGUCGU
rnacentral:rRNA from 1 species